rnacentral:rRNA from 1 species
UACGUAGGGUGCGAGCGUUAAUCGGAAUUACUGGGCGUACAGCGUGCGCAGGCGGUCUGUUAAGACCGAUGUGAAAUCCCCGGGCUUAACCUGGGAACUGCAUUGGUGACUGGCAGGCUUUGAGUGUGGCAGAGGGAGGUAGAAUUCCACGUGUAGCAGUGAAAUGCGUAGAGAUGUGGAGGAAUACCGAUGGCGAAGGCAGCCUCCUGGGCCAACACUGACGCUCAUGCACGAAAGCGUGGGGAGCAAACAGG